rfam:Citrus sinensis cultivar Ridge Pineapple sweet orange scaffold01659_contig_1, whole genome shotgun sequence.
AUGCCAUGAUGAUGACAUCUCCUCAGCAACUCCUUAAAUCUUUCCCAAGCCUCAUACAAGCUUUCAUUUUCUAGCUGAUGAAAAGAAGUGAUCUUAUUAUGCAACUU